AUUCUUUGUAGAACAUCAAAGGGCAACAGCUCCAGAGUGAACCCCUGAAUGUACCCAGCACUAGCUACUGUGGCUACUCUAAUGGCUCCAACAAAUGAAGCUAAACAUUGAGAGCAUUUGCAGAGUGUGACAAGUGUGGAUGGUAGUGGAGUGUCACAUACCCAGAGCUGGUGACGAGGGAGCUGAAGUGGGAGUGCGUCAAGACGACGUUUGUGGCAGCACACUCUGUAGCACAGCCUGCGUCGGCUCACUUGCUAGGCAACCUCUGAAUGCUGCCUUUCUCAAGUGUUUGGGAGGAGGUCCCUGUUGCAGAUUCUGA
rnacentral:lncRNA from 1 species